AGAAACGUUCAGCAAACAUUUCCGAAUUUCCGUAUUCAACGUAAACAAUUAUUGUCUCAACCAACGUCGACGUUUUUAGCGACUUUUAUUAAUUUUCAGUUUUAAAUCAGCCACUGCCCUAUUAAGUUGUAAUUUUGUUGUAAAAGAAACAUCCAAAAUGCGUUUUGCCUUUGCAGUUCUGAUUCUUUUUACUGUGAUCCUAUCCAUCGAAAGUCAAUGCGGAUGCUCGAAAUUGUGUGGCGACAGUAAACGAAAAUGUGGGCCAAACGAGACUUGUGUACCGUGUUCAUGUGAAUCGAAAUGCACUCCAGUCGUAUAUCCAUGCACCGAAGCAUAUUCACGCGAUUGCAGAAGGUGUCAGUGCAAUGAAGGUUACCUUCGAACAGGUACCGACGGUUGUAUUCUUCAAAAAGAUUGUAUUGUGAAAGGAUAGGAAUAAAGAAAUUUGCUUCCGCAACUCA